rnacentral:rRNA from 1 species
GACGAACGCUGGCGGCGUGCUUAACACAUGCAAGUCGAGCGGUAAGGCCCUUUCGGGGGUACACGAGCGGCGAACGGGUGAGUAACACGUGGGUGACCUGCCCUCAGCUCUGGGAUAAGCCUGGGAAACUGGGUCUAAUACUGGAUAUGACUCCACGGUGCAUGUCGUGGGGUGGAAAGCCUUGUGCGGCUGAGGAUGGGCCCGCGGCCUAUCAGCUUGUUGGUGGGGGAUGGCCUACCAAGGCGACGACGGGUAGCCGGCCUGAGAGGGCGACCGGCCACACUGGGACUGAGACACGGCCCAGACUCCUACGGGAGGCAGCAGUGGGGAAUCUUGCGCAAUGGGCGAAAGCCUGACGCAGCGACGCCGCGUGAGGGAUGACGGCCUGGUGUAACGUAC